GACAGAGGGUGCAAACGUUGUUCGGAAUUAUUGGGCGUAAAGGGCUCGUAGGCGGUUUGUCACGUCGGGAGUGAAAACUCAGGGCUUAACCCUGAGCCUGCUUCCGAUACGGGCAGACUAGAGGUAUGCAGGGGAGAAUGGAAUUCCUGGUGUAGCGGUGAAAUGCGCAGAUAUCAGGAGGAACACCGGUGGCGAAGGCGGUUCUCUGGGCAUUACCUGACGCUGAGGAGCGAAAGUGUGGGGAGCGAACAGG
rnacentral:rRNA from 1 species